GGUAUGGGAUGAGCUUGCGUCCGAUUAGCUAGUUGGCGGGGCAACGGCCCACCAAGGCGACGAUCGGUAGCCGGCCUGAGAGGGUGAUCGGCCACAUUGGGACUGAGAUACGGCCCAGACUCCUACGGGAGGCAGCAGUAGGGAAUAUUGCACAAUGGGGGGAACCCUGAUGCAGCAACGCCACGUGUGGGAAGAAGCAUUUCGGUGUGUAAACCACUGUCAUGAGGGAAUAAGGCCUAUUUUCGGAUAGGAUUGAAUGUACCUUGAGAGGAAGCACCGGCAAACUUCGUGCCAGCAGCCGCGGUAAUACGAGGGGUGCAAGCGUUGUUCGGAAUUACUGGGCGUAAAGGGUGCGUAGGCGGAGAUUCAAGCGGAUUGUACAAUCCCGGGGCCCAACCCCGGCUCUGCAGUCCGAACUGGAUCUCUUGGAUAGUUCAGGGGCAGGC
rnacentral:rRNA from 1 species